GUGCGAUGACGAUAACUGCGCCUAAUGUGAAGGAAGGGUCCCUCACUUAGUCCGACUUCCGGACGAAAAAACAGGCGCUGCAGAGCAC